rnacentral:misc_RNA from 1 species
GAUGAAGAUGUAACUGCACAGGGGGAAACAAGGCCCCAAAUAUUAAGUAAUUCGGCAUCUCAAAUGAAGGCAUGACUUCUUAGGAUCCAUUCAUUGUAUUCCAAACAAAGAAGGGGCAACAAGCUUGCCUUCCCUUGAUUAUCAAAUUUAAAUUCAAACAGUAGUCACUACAACUUCCACUUCCUUAAAGAAAACAACUUUUUUCUCAAUAAAAAAAUAAAAUUCAUGAUGCAUUGAAGACCUAACUUACAGUGAGCUUAUGCUGCAAAUUGCUAUGUGCAGAAUUUUUCAGUAUGAAAAAUGAUCAAGUCAACUGGGAAAAGUAGAAUUUGAGAAGAAAGGAGAAAGGAAUAGAAUACAGACAUAGGAAGAAGGUAAGUGAUUAAAGAGAAUUCUCUCAAAAACAAUCUACUCCACAUUGGGUAUCCGUAAUUUGAAGUGUCAGAA